rnacentral:rRNA from 1 species
CGCGAAUGGCUCAUUAAAUCAGUUAUGGUUCAUUAGAUGAGUCCAAUCCUACUUGGAUAACUGUGGCAAUUCUAGAGCUAAUACACGCCUCCAAGCUCUGACCUAUCGGGACGAGCGCUUUUAUUAGACCAAGACCAAUCGGGCUUCGGUCCGUUUCCUUUGGUGACUCUGAAUAACCUUUUGAAGAUCGCACGGUCUCGAACCGGCGAUGCAUCUUUCAAAUGUCUGCCUUAUCAACUGUCGAUGGUAAGUUAUGCGCUUACCAUGGUUGUAACGGGUAACGGAGAAUCAGGGUUCGACUCCGGAGAGGGAGCCUGAGAAACGGCUGCCACAUCCAAGGAAGGCAGCAGGCACGCAAAUUACCCACUCCCGGCACGGGGAGGUAGUGACGAAAAAUAACGAUGCGGGACUCUUCCGAGGCCCCGUAAUCGGAAUGAGUACACUUUAAAUCCUUUAACGAGGAUCAAUUGGAGGGCAAGUCUGGUGCCAGCAGCCGCGGUAAUUCCAGCUCCAAUAGCGUAUACUAAAGUUGUUGCGGCUAAAAAGCUCGUAGUUGGAUUUCAGUCGUAGGUCGGAGGUCCGACGCCCGUCGGUUACUUCCUGGUCUGGACACCUUGCCAGCUCUCCGGCGAUGCUCUUGACCGGGUGUCGUUGGUGGCUGGAACGUUUACUUUGAAAAAAUUAGAGUGCUCUAAGCAGGUGCUAUCGGCUUGAAUAACACAGCAUGGAAUAAUGGAACACGACCUUGGUUCUGUUCUGUUGGUCUUUGGAAGCCAAGGUAAUGAUUAAUAGGGACGGACGGGGGCAUUCGUAUUGCGACGCUAGAGGUGAAAUUCUUGGACCGUCGCAAGACGAACUACUGCGAACGCAUUUGCCAAGAACGUUUUCAUUAAUCAAGAACGAAAGUCAGAGGUUCGAAGGCGAUCAGAUACCGCCCUAGUUCUGACCAUAAACAAUGCCAACCAGCGAUCCGCCGGAGUUACUCCCAUGACUCGGCGGGCAGCUUCCGGGAAACCAAAGUGUUUGGGUUCCGGGGGAAGUAUGGUUGCAAAGCUGAAACUUAAAGGAAUUGACGGAAGGGCACCACCAGGAGUGGAGCCUGCGGCUUAAUUUGACUCAACACGGGACACCUCACCCGGCCCGGACACCGGAAGGAUUGACAGACUGAGAGCUCUUUCUUGAU